AACACAAUGAAACUAUUUUGUUUUGUGAUCUUCUCUGAUCCCAGAAGCUAAGUGAGGUAAGGCCAGAUUAGCAUCUGAAUGGAAGACCGCCUCAGAACAACAGGCGCUGUUGUUU
rnacentral:rRNA from 1 species